rnacentral:lncRNA from 1 species
GGGCAUAGUUAGUGUUGGUUCAGCAAGCAUGUGCGUUAUAUCGCUUUAUCGAUUGUGUCUAAAUAUUCUUAUAUAAACAGGAUUUAACUUAUUUUAUAAAAUUUGGUAAGUAUGCAAUUUUUGUUUAAGUUUCUACUGAUCUAUUGUAUGUCGUCGUGUAUAUGUAUUACACAAGUUAAGUCAUUCAUUUUAGCGUGCACAAUUCACAAUUUGUCUACACUAGAAUAAAUUAUUAAAUAAUCGUGAUUACACAUGUUUAUUUUUUUUUCCCUAUAAUGUUUAUGAAUAAAACAACAAUAUGUACCAUGUCGUUACUUAUGCAUGGUUGAACAUUUUUACAAACUGUAACACAUUCCGACAUGCAUGAUUGAACCUGUGAAUAAACAUGACCAUAUAUGGCUUGUAAACAAUUAACAAUUGUGUUUACAAAUUACAAUGUUUUGUACUUUUUAUAAAAUAAUGUUUCAAACAUUUAAAUUGAUUUAAUUCUGAUUUUUUUUUUUAAAUCUUCAAUGAAUCUAUUUGUUUUUAGAAUUGUCUUACUAUUAUUUUUGUUAUUAAAAUUGUUCAUUUCAAUAAUAUCUGAAAUUUCUUUUUGGAAAAUUUUCAAAAUGUUUAUUUUUUUGUUUUCUUUUCUGAGACAUAAUAUGCUUUAUAUAAUGAAAAGGAUAUUAUUGUUAGUAUGUAGUUAAUAUCAAAGUAUGCUGAGUCUUCAAUUUUGUACCCUAUUACUAGAUUUUCAAGACUUAUAAUGUUUUUGUCUAUACCUAGGGAGUUCAUUAAUUUCAUUGCUAUUUUUAGGAAGUCUGUAUUAAAUAAGCAGUUGACAAAAAAGUGUUCAUAGUUAUCUUUUUCUUUACAAUGCUUACAUAAGUUGUCUUCAGUAAUUUUCCACUUUUUUAAUAGUUCAUUGCAUGGCAGAAUAUAGUGAAUAAGUUUCCAUCUAAACAUUUUUAAUCUGUUAUCAGUGAGAUAUUGAAAAAUGAAAACAAAGUUAUUUUUGAACUUGUUACUUAAAUUUUUGUCAAAUAAUUUUUCCCACAACAAAAAACCGUUCGGUUUUUCGUGAUUUUCUUUAGUUUGUUUGAACCUUUUUUUAUAAAGUUUUCCAAUUUCAAUUAGUAGCUUAUCAAUUGUUUAAUUUGUUGUUGUUUUUUUAUUUCAAUGUUUAUUGUUUUCUGUUUAAACCUAAUUUUUUAAACUUGUCAAUUUUGUGUUAAUCAAAAACAUUUUGUAACUUAUUUUUAUCAAUGUCUUUAAUACUCUUUAAAUUCAUUUUGAAUACAAGAAGAUUUUUCCCUAAUUUGUUAAAAUAAAAUUUUGGAAUGAUUGUCGCAUUAUCAUAUUUUUAUUCUCACUUAAUUUUAAAAUCCAGCUGAUAUGCAGUGAUUUUAUGUAAACAUCAAUGUCUGUCAUAUUUAGUCCACCUUCCAAAAAAUCUUUUAGAAGUGUGGAUCUUUUUUAUUUUGUCUUUUUUGCCUUUCCAUAUAAAAUUAUAUAUCAAAGUUUUAAAAUUUUGCAACAUUUCUUUAGGAAUUAUAGUGUUUGAUGCAAUAUAUGUUAGGUUUGGCAAAACAAGUGAUUUGAUGAUGACUAUCUUUCCUAUAAUAGUAAGAUUUCUUUUACUCCAAUCAGUUAUUAUUUUUUUACAUUUUAAAAGCUGUUUUUCAAAGUUUAAUUUUUGACAUUCUUGUUUAUUGUGACCAAAAUAAAUUCCAAGACUUUUAAUAGGUGUAGUACACCAAUUUAUAUCUUCACAUUUAUCACGACAGUGUUUCAAUUGGCCUAGCCAUAUCCCUUCAGUUUUUGUUUUGUUCAAUUUUAAACCUGAGAAAGUACCAAAUAUUUCUAUUAAAUUAAUUGCAAGAGUAACAUCUUUUUUUGAUUGAAGAAAUAAAGUAGUAUCAUCUGCUAGUUGGCAAAUUUUCAGAGUAUUACUUUUUCCGUCUAGUUUUAUUUCUAGUCCUUUUAAAUUUUUAUUUUCCCUUAUCUUAAUUGCCAUUACUUCUACUGCUAGAACAAAUAGUAACGAUGAUAACGGACAUCCUUGUCGGAUUCCACGUGAAGCACUGAAUCGAGUAGAAACCCACCCGUUAUUAAUAAUGCAUCCUUUAAUAUCCGAGUACAUUGUCUGAACCCACCUAAUAAAAUUAUUUUUAAAGCCAAAUUUCUUUAAAGUCUCAAACAUGAAGUCCCAUUCUAACGAGUCAAAUGCUUUUGUAAAGUCAAGGAAUAAGAUUGCCCCAUCUAUUUUAAAAGUUUCAGAGUAAUCUAUAACAUCUUGUAUUUGUCGAAUAUUAAAACCAAUAUACCUAUUUUUUACAUAUCCUUUCUGGUCAGUGUGUAUAAUUUUUGGGUAGCAGGGGUUUUAAUCUUUGUGCUAAUGCAUAAGCGAGUAAUUUUGCAUCAUAAUUUAAAAGAGUUAUAGGUCUAUAAUUAUCUAGUGAAAGAGGGUCAUUUUUUUUAUAAAUUAAGGAUAUUAAACCUACUUUCUGAGUGUUUGAUAGCUUUCCUUUUUCAUAACAAUAAUUAAAAGUAGCGACUAUAAAAGUUUUUAAUUCUUCCCAAAAUUUUCUGUAAAAUUCAACAUUUAAUCCAUCAAGCCCAGGAGCUUUAUUUAGUUUCAUUUUAAAAAUUGCAUCAGUACAUUCAUCAACAGUUAUUUCCCCUUCACAAGUAUUACUUUCAGAGUCAUUUAAUUUUUUAUAUUCUUUUAGAGAUUCUAAAUACUUUUUUGUUUCUUCUAUCUCAGGAUUUUUUGUAGAGUACAAAUUUUUAUAAUAAUUUGCUUCUAAUUCUAAUAUUUUGUCUUGAUCUCUUGUAACUUGACCCUUAUCAUCAUAUAAUUGGGUUAUUGUUUUUCUACUCUGUCUAGAUUUUUCCAUCCCUAGAAAAUAUGCUGAAUUUUUUUUCUCCCUCUUCAACCCAUUUUACCCUUGCCCUUAUUCGGAUUACCUUUUAUUUUCUCAUUAUAGAGUUUUCCUAUUUCAUUUUCUAUAUUUUCUACUUUCUGUACUAAGUUGCUUUUGUUUUUGUCAUUGCAUGAUGAUUUGUCUAUAAUUUUAUUUAAUUCCGUUAACAUUUUUUCCAACUGGCUGAUUUGGUCUUUUUUAUUUUUAGCUUUUAUUUUACAAUAGUUGAUUGUCUGGUCUCUAACUUCAAUUUUGAAAUUGUCCCACAGAAUGUCAAGUUCAGUUUUAGUUUUUGCCUUGUUUUUAUAAUUUUUUAUUAUCUUAUUAAUUAUUUCAAUGUAGUCUUCAUUUUGAAGUACACUACUGUUAAGUUUCCAGUAUCCCCUUCCUUUUUGUCCUCUCUACUUAAAUUUAUUUUUAAGGAAACACAGUUGUGAUCUGUGUAUUGUAGUACUAUUGGUCUUAUAUCACAUGAAACACAGUUUUUGAAUACCUCAGGAGCAAUUAAAAAAAUAAUCAAUUCUUGUCGACUCCGAUCUAUCUUUUCUACUCCAUGUAUAUUGAAUUUUGUUUGGAUUUCUGUUUCUCCACACAUCACUUAGUUUAAGGGACUUUAUAAGUUUAUUUAAGUUGUGAGCAGGUUUUUUUUUUAUUUUGGUGCUUAGAUUUGCUUUUUGAAUCAAUAUGGAUAAAAUUUCGUUAAUCUCCUCCUUCUGUUGACUGGAUUCAUUGUGAUUUUUGUUCAAAUUGGUUCCGUUGUAUUCGUAACAUUUUGCAGUCAAUUCGUGUUUUAUUAUAUGCAUAUAUUAUUAUAUGUAUUUCAAGAUUUAAUUUACAUAUAAAGCAAUCAAUUGUUACAAUUUUCAAUUUUUUUCAAAUAUUAUUGUUUUUUUUUUAUAUUUUGAUUUGGAUUACAAAUUUUUGUUAAAUUUUUCUUUAUAUUGUCUUACUUUACCUUUUGUUGUUUAUUGGUUUUACAAUAUUUUAAUGUCUUUCAUUUGUAAAUUUCUCAAUUUUUCUGGUUAAUUUUAGUUGAAUAAAAAGCACGAAAUGUUUCAUUUUAAAUUACAAAAUAAAUGUGAAAUUGACAUCACUUAACAGUAUCUUUAGUUCAUCUUUAGAUAAACUUUGAGGAUGCCUUGUUUAAGAGUGAUAAUUUUUUAUUCUACUUAUAGGUUUUAUUAUUUCAAUAGUUUUAGUCUAGAAGUCAUUUUGAUAAUAAGGUACACAGUUAUUUUCCAUAGUACUAGCCCAUGUUGCACACCAGUACAUAUCCCUUUAUUAUUUUAAUUUUCUGGCCUUGUUUUUGGUUGCGACACCAUGGAUUCAGAUUUUUUCUGUACCAAUACUUAUAACUAAUAUCAAUGAUAUACCGCAAUAUAUAAUCGUUAUGUAAUCGAUAAAAAAUAAAGACAACACGUUAAGGGACGACAUCAAAACAUCAAUGAAGGAUAAAAAAACUUAAUUCAAAUAGUUUGGGUCUUUACAUCGAUUUUAUAUAUAUCCUUAUUGUUCAAUCAAUUUUUCCCAAAUUAAGUUAAGAGGGGAGUAUGGGGGUCAGUGAUAAAACUAUAUGAAUUAAGUUGUUUAUCCUACAUUGAACUUUUGAUGUCGUCCCUAAAAGAUCCAGGAUUGAGUUCAAUAUCGUAGCUGCUACGUAGCUGCUAUCAAUAUCUAUGUAGCAACUGGUCUAUAGCUACACGUUCAAUAGUCAAAAUCUACGUAGCACUACGUAGUUGCUACGAUAUUAAACUCAACACAGGACUCCUAAGUGCAUUUGUGGAUGAUUUAAUUUCCUCAUGAACGACCAAAAGCCGAAUCUUUGAAGGCCAAUAGUUUAUAAGAACUGCAAUAGCUGAUUAAAAGAUAAAGAUGAUUGUUCAGAAUUGUACGUUUAAUAAUUUCAUCUGCCGACAUGACUGCAGAUAAAAAAAAAAGUUGCGAAAUAAAAUGUAAAUUAAAAAUAAAUAUGAGGGAAUACACGUGCAUUUAAUAAUUUAAUGCCUUAACGUACAGUAAAAAAAUGUAUUAAUACUCAACCCUAUCAUACUUUUUGGCUUAAUGCGAGUUGAUUAGUUUUCACUCUUGCUCCUAAAUGAUGAGCGUUUGAAAUACAUCAAAACUGUGUAUGUUUAAUAAUUCUCUAGCUUUAAUUUACUGCAUACCAUUAUCAGAGUAACAAAUAAUAUUGUUUGUAGCAAAUCAUAUAUGACUUCUGAGUAAAUUACUUUUACUUUUAAAAUACAUUAAUAAAAGUUUGUCUAAAUACUCGAGUUACGGUCAUCUUUCAAAGUUACGACCAUCUUGUGUCAGUUACGACCAUCAUCCAAAAUACUAUAGUUGAAUUUACGACCAUCACACAUUUAAAGUUACGACCAUCAUGCUCGAAUUUUUGAAUGACUAUUUUACCAAAAUUGGACUGAUUGUAUCUAUCAAAUUUGGUUUCAAUAUCAACGCACUCACGAUAAGUGUAUAUGAGACAAGCGGUUUGGCUCAAAUGAACAUUUUACUGCACGAAAAUCGAAAAAGAAAAACUUAUCCCUAGAGUUGUCUUCUCUCUCCGGAGAAUUAAUUGACCCAAACUUUUUUCUUCUAUUACAGCAUGUACAGUUUUAAAAAAAAUAUUUCUGCUUUUUGGAUUAUUUGGCGCAUAAAUGUUAGCUAUUGUUAUAAUAGUGUCAUCUAUUUCAAUAUUAACAAGCAAUAGCCUUCCUUCAUUAUCUUUAUAGUCAUCUAUAAUUUUAAAGUUUAGUUUUUUUUUCCAGCCAUAUGGCAAUUCCCCUUGAAUUGCUGGAACCAUUACUUAGUAUAAGUUUGCCUUCAAAUUCGGUAUUUAAAUGGUUUAUCAAAUUAUCUGUAAAGUGUGUUUCUUGCAUAAGAAGAAUGUCACAUUUUUGGGUUUUCGACCAUUCAAUCAAUCUUUUUCUUUUAUCAGGUUGUUGUAAGCCUUUACAAUUUACUGUACAGAUAUGAAGAUGUUUGUUUAAUACCAUAGUUGGUGAGUAUUUUUAAUAUUUAUUUGUAACAUCCAUUAUGCUUCAGUAAACUUAGGUAAAUCCCCUUUGGAGUGUUAAUAAUUAGGUUACAUUUUAGGUGACCUUCACAGAGACUAUAAAUAGACAUUUUUCCAGGUGUUUUAUUUUAAAAGGGACUUUUAUUUAUUAAUCGACUUGUUCUUUGUAUUAUAAAUAGGAGUAAUAUAUUUAUAAUUCUUUUACAUUUGUAGCUGAAUGUAUUUAUUGUGUAAUCAUUACAAGUUUUACACUUAUUAACUUUAUAAAUAAUGUUAACAAACAUUAUUAAUUUUUUACCUGUACUUGUACUUUUUGUGUUUAAAUUCAAUCUACAAAAAGGAUGAUUUGUCCAUCCUGCACAUUUAAUUUUACUGGUUUUACAUGUGUUAUUAUGUAAAAAAUAAGCAUAGUUUAUAUCUAUUGAAGACAUAUAACUACAAGUUACAUUCAAAAAUGAGAAAAAUGUGUUGUUUUCUUUGACCUCAAAGGUCAUUAUUUGGGUCAUCCUUGUGAAUUCACAAACAGUCAUUGACAUGUACAUCAUAACUUGAGUACACUCAGUGUCUGUUGGGCUCAUAUAAAUAUAAACACAUAUGUACUUCAAUUUGAAAUACAUAAUCAAAAAUAUUUAAAAAGAACUAUUUGUAUAUACACAUGCUUGCAUAUACAUAUACAUGUAUAACAAAUAAAAACAAUUUUGUUAUAAGUACAAAGCAUGAGAAUCAGUUUUGUUAAAAUAUUUGUAUUUUUAGAAGUGGUAUGUUGGUUUAAAUUUUUCAUUAUAACCACAUUUACUUUUACAAAGUUUAACUAUUGGGUUUUGAAUAUUUCUAGGAUUGAAUUUUUGACAAAUAAAAUAUAUUGUAAAAUUGUUUGCUUGAAGAUUUCUAUUUUUUGCUUUAUUGCCAAAAUGUGUUUGAUUAAACAUUUCUUAUCUUUAUUUUUAGGAUAAGAAGAUGGUGACCGAUUUUGACUGGUCCUCACUGAACAUUGGCUUCCAAAAAGUUGAAACCUCAUCAGAUAUGGAUAAAAUGUGAAAAGCUCAAUAUGUACAGACAGAACAAAUAUAAUUAUGUACAACUGCAUUUUAAAAUUUUUUUUUUUUUUUUAUAAUAUAUAAUAAAAUAGGUUUAAU